rnacentral:rRNA from 1 species
GACGAACGCUGGCGGCGUGCUUAACACAUGCAAGUCGAACGGAAAGGCCCUGCUUUUGUGGGGUGCUCGAGUGGCGAACGGGUGAGUAACACGUGAGUAACCUGCCCUUGACUUUGGGAUAACUUCAGGAAACUGGGGCUAAUACCGGAUAGGAGCUCCUGCUGCAUGGUGGGGGUUGGAAAGUUUCGGCGGUUGGGGAUGGACUCGCGGCUUAUCAGCUUGUUGGUGGGGUAGUGGCUUACCAAGGCUUUGACGGGUAGCCGGCCUGAGAGGGUGACCGGACACAUUGGGACUGGGAUACGGCCCAGACUCCUACGGGAGGCAGCGGUGGAGAAUAUUGCACAAUGGGCGGAAGCCUGAUGCAGCAACGCCGCGUGCGGGAUGACGGCCUUCGGGUUGUAAACCGAUUUCGCCUGUGACGAAGCGUGAGUGACGGUAAUGGGUAAAGAAGCACCGGCUAACUACGUG